rnacentral:rRNA from 1 species
UACGUGGGGGGCCAGCGUUGUCCGAAGUUACUGGGCGUAAAGCGCGUGUAGGCGGGUUUUUAAGUGAGGGGUGAAAGGUUCAGGCUCAACCUGGACACUGCCUCUCAUACUGGGAACCUUGAGUGCGGGAGAGGCGAGUGGAAUGGUCGGUGUAGCGGUGAAAUGCGUAGAUAUCGAUCGGAACACCCAUGGCGAAGGCAGCUCGCUGGCCUGUAACUGACGCUGAG